AUUUAAAUUGUAAAAUGGCUAAGUCAUUGGUGCAAUUGGAACAUGAAAUGUAGUAAUGGCGAAAUGAUUGGGGUUGGCCGAAAUUUAGAUCGUUGUUAGGAAAUAAAUAUGCAGAACGGACUGUUAUGUUCAUCACAAUUCAUUGCACUCGUCAUCAUUUGCCAAUUUGAGCUUCGGAACUAAUUGUAGCAGAUACUAGGGUUUGUAGACAGAGAUUGAAGAAUGCUCAUUCUGAACUAACUUUGCCAGAAUGAAGAUUGCUCAGUUUGGAUGCACAACUAUUUCCUUAAAGAAGGUUUUAACAUCAACACAGAUAUGUAACCUUGCCAUAUCUGCAUUGGAAAUGGAUACAUCUGAGGCACCCCGGUGUAUCUGGUAACUUUGAUUUUACCUGGGCAUGCUUGUUGAAGAUGAUAACGAAACCUUAUAAAUGUAGGUAGCCAGAGUCUGUCCAAGUUGCGGUACCGACUGGGAUUGUUCUGAAUGGAACAUUGCAGAACCUGAUUCAAUUGAAGCUAACCCUUCUCAAAGAACUAGAAAGGAAUCACAUUAGAUAAAAAGCUUAGUAGGGUCUCCAAAAUUUUAGGGCACUAGGUCUAGCCUUCUAUUAAUAAUGAAAAUUGACUAUGGUCCAUGCAAGCAAAGUAUUUGUGGCUGUUCAGUUCAAGAUUCUGUCUCAAAAGUCAAACGGGAAAGUAGUUUCAUGGUGUAACUUAGGAAUGAGACUCUUGUUUUAGGUCAAGAAUGACGACGAGCCCCGGUCAAUCUUACUUGUGGGAAAGCUGUUUUAUGUAAGGUUCUUUGAAUUAUUUAAUCAUAUUGUAAUAUCCUAUGCUGUGAUGAAUUCAAUUCAGAAUUAGCCCCAAAAAAUAAAAUUUGCAUCUCCAAUA